AUUGAACGCUGGCGGCAUGCCUUACACAUGCAAGUCGAACGGUAACAGGUCUUCGGAUGCUGACGAGUGGCGAACGGGGGAGUAAUACAUCGGAACGUGCCCGAUCGUGGGGGAUAACGAGGCGAAAGCUUUGCUAAUACCGCAUACGAUCUACGGAUGAAAGCGGGGGAUCUUCGGACCUCGCGCGGACGGAGCGGCCGAUGGCAGAUUAGGUAGUUGGUGGGAUAAAAGCUUACCAAGCCGACGAUCUGUAGCUGGUCUGAGAGGAUGAUCAGCCACACUGGGACUGAGACACGGCCCAGACUCCUACGGGAGGCAGCAGUGGGGAAUUUUGGACAAUGGGCGAAAGCCUGAUCCAGCCAUGCCGCGUGCAGGAUGAAGGCCUUCGGGUUUUAAACUGCUUUUGUACGGAACGAAAAGCCUCUUUCUAAUAAAGAGGGGUCAUGACGGUACCGUAAGAAUAAGCACCGGCUAACUACGUG
rnacentral:rRNA from 1 species